rnacentral:rRNA from 1 species
UACAGAGGUCUCAAGCGUUUGUUCGGAUUCAUUGGGCGUAAAGGGUGCGUAGGCGGCGCGGUAAGUCGGGUGUGAAAUCUCGGGGCUUAACUCCGAAACUGCAUUCGAUACUGCCGUGCUUGAGGACUGGAGAGGAGACUGGAAUUUACGGUGUAGCGGUGAAAUGCGUAGAUAUCGUAAGGAAGACCAGUGGCGAAGGCGGGUCUCGUGGACAGUUCCUGACGCUGAGGCACGAAGG